AAAGAAAACCAAGAAAAGCAAGGGGGAGAGACAGAGCGAGGAGGAGGCCUCAAAUUAUGGUUUGGGAUUACACUGGCUUUGGAUAUACAAGGUACAAUGCCAGAGACAUUAACAAAGAAAUACUAGGGUGUCAUUGCUAAGAGGAUAUAAAUCAGACAGGAGACCUGCAAACUCGACAAUGAUGGCAAUUCUGGAUGGCUUUCAGAAGGCAUAUUCCGUUGAUUUCAGACCACUCAAUGCAC